AGAUCCCCUUCCCUAAUUAUACUAAAGAAAAAAUGGCUCUGAAAAUGUUUUUUGUACUUUGGAAAGUCCUUUUGAUCUUUACCCUUGUUUUUGCUUUGGAGGUGGCUGCAAGGGAACUGCUCGAGACUUCGAAUUCCAAUGUCCCUCAUAAGAUGCCUAUGAAGCUCGCGAAGAGACAGGAUGAUCCCUGGGGCCACCACAUAUAGGAAUAUCAGGGAUUUCUUUUCAGAAUAUUAAUCCUUGAUUUUCGUGAUGUCAACAUAAAUCAUUCAGAACAAGAGACUCCUUAUCGAUCCGGACAAAUUAAU